AAGUCGUAACAAGGUAACCGUAGGUGAACCUGCGGUUGGAUCAUUAGAAAAUGUAGAAGUUGGUGUUGUGUGUGUGCUUCAUAUGCCCUCACGGGUUGUGUGAUCACCACUGGCAUCUCAACUUUCUUCAACCCACCUGUGCACUAUUGAACUGUAUCUGGCGAGUGUCUCACUGUUUCCUAGGGCAUGUUGUUUUGCAUCGCAAUUCAACACCCAGGAUCACAGCCUCGCCACCAGUAUCGCCAAACACAACCAUUUUUUGACACUGACUGAUGAUAAACAACAAAAACAAAUAGAAGAAACAACUUUUAACAACGGAUCUCUUGGCUCUU
rnacentral:misc_RNA from 1 species